rnacentral:rRNA from 1 species
GAUGAACGCUGGCGGCGUGCCUAAUACAUGCAAGUCGAGCGAAGCGGGGACGGGUGAGUAACACGUGGAUAACCUCCUAUAAGACUGGGAUAACUUCGGGAAACCGGAGCUAAACCGGAUGCUUAUAGAUGGAUCCGCGCAGCAUUAGCUAGUUGGUAAGGUAACGGCUUACCAAGGCAACAAUGCAUAGCCGACCUGAGAGGGUGAUAAGCCAAACUGAAACAAAGGAACGGUCCAGCCUCCUGCAGGAGGCAGCAGUAGGGAAUCUUCCGCAAUGGGCGAAAGCCUGACGGAGCAACGCCGCGUAAGUGAUGAAGGUAUUCGGAUCGUAAAACUCUGUUAUUAGGGAAGCGGUACCUAAUCAGAAAGCCACGGCUAACUACAUGCCGACCACCGCGGUAAUAC